rnacentral:rRNA from 1 species
UACGUAGGGGGCAAGCGUUGUCCGGAUUUAUUGGGCGUAAAGAGCGUGUAGGCGGCUGGGUAGGUCCGUUGUGAAAACUCGAGCUCAACCUCGAGACGCCGAUGGAAACCCUCCAGCUAGAGUCCGGAAGAGGAGAGUGGAAUUCCUGGUGUAGCGGUGAAAUGCGCAGAUAUCAGGAAGAACACCCGUGGCUAAGGCGGCUCUCUGGGACGGUACUGACGCUGAGACGCGAAAGCGUGGGGAGCGAACAGG